GAUGAACGCUGGCGGCGUGCCUAAUACAUGCAAGUCGAGCGAAUGGAUUAAGAGCUUGCUCUUAUGAAGUUAGCGGCGGACGGGUGAGUAACACGUGGGUAACCUGCCCAUAAGACUGGGAUAACUCCGGGAAACCGGGGCUAAUACCGGAUAAUAUUUUGAACUGCAUGGUUCAAAAUUGAAAGGCGGCUUCGGCUGUCACUUAUGGAUGGACCCGCGUCGCAUUAGCUAGUUGGUGAGGUAACGGCUCACCAAGGCAACGAUGCGUAGCCGACCUGAGAGGGUGAUCGGCCACACUGGGACUGAGAAACGGCCCAGACUCCUACGGGAGGCAGCGGUAGGGAAUCUUCCGCAAUGGACGAAAGUCUGACGGAGCAACGCCGCGUGAGUGAUGAAGGCUUUCGGGUCGUAAAACUCUGUUGUUAGGGAAGAACAAGUGCUAGUUGAAUAAGCUGGCACCUUGACGGUACCUAACCAGAAAGCCACGGCUAACUACGUGCCAGCCGCCGCGGUAA
rnacentral:rRNA from 1 species